UCCGCCGGGCUUGGGAGGGCGGUGACCAGAGGAUGCUGGCGAGCAGCGGAGGAGCGAGGGGACUCAGCCGCCACUGCGCCGCCGCCACCCAGAAUUGCUGGCUUUGUUCUAGCUCUCUCCCUCUGCCCACCUAGCUGCUCCCAUAAUGCUGUGGGUUUUGCAUCCCUAAACCCCUGUGGUCCUCAGUCUGGGGGUCCUGUAUACCAGGAGACUACAGGUGUGGGUGCCCCGCCCUCCUGCAUCCCGAAGGUCCAGGACCCGCUAACUCCAGCUCUCUCCAAAAGACGAUGUCACACACAGCCUUUCUAGCUGUCUUACUGAAGAUUCGGGAUUCUAAGGCUUGGAAGAAUGAGCAAGUCAAUGUGGGGAGGAAGAAAAAUCAUAAAUUAA
rnacentral:lncRNA from 1 species